GACGAACGCUGGCGGCGUGCUUAACACAUGCAAGUCGAACGGUGAAGCGCCUUCCUUUUUGGUGGGUGUGGAUGAGUGGCGAACGGGUGAGUAACACGUGAGUAACCUGCCCCCUUCUUCUGGAUAACCGCAUGAAAGUGUGGCUAAUACGGGAUAUUCUGGGUCUGUCGCAUGAUGGGUCUGGGAAAGAUAUUGUUUCGGUGGGGGAUGGGCUCGCGGCCUAUCAGCUUGUUGGUGGGGUGAUGGCCUACCAAGGCGGUGACGGGUAGCCGGCCUGAGAGGGUGGACGGUCACACUGGGACUGAGACACGGCCCAGACUCCUACGGGAGGCAGCAGUGGGGAAUAGUGCACAAUGGGCGCAAGCCUGAUGCAGCGACGCCGCGUGAGGGAUGGAGGCCUUCGGGUUGUGAACCUCUUUCGCCAGUGAAGCAGGCCUGCCUCGUUUGUGGGUGGGUUGACGGUAGCUGGAGAAGAAGCGCCGGCUAACUACGUG
rnacentral:rRNA from 1 species